UACGUAGGGGGCAAGCGUUGUCCGGAAUCAUUGGGCGUAAAGCGCGCGUAGGCGGCCCUGUAAGUCCGUUGUGAAAGUCAAAGGCUCAACCUUUGAAAGCCGAUGGAUACUGCAGGGCUCGAGUUCGGAAGAGGCGAGCGGAAUUCCUGGUGUAGCGGUGAAAUGCGCAGAUAUCAGGAGGAACACCGGUGGCGAAGGCGGUUCUCUGGGCAUUACCUGACGCUGAGGAGCGAAAGUGUGGGGAGCGAACAGG
rnacentral:rRNA from 1 species